rnacentral:rRNA from 1 species
CUACGGGAGGCAGCAGUUUCGAAUCAUUCACAAUGGGCGAAAGCCUGAUGGUGCGACGCCGCGUGAGGGAUGAAGGUCUUCGGAUUGUAAACCUCUGUCACUGGGGAGGAAACGCUUUGAGCUAAUAGUUCAAAGCCUGACUUAACCCGGAGAGGAAGCAGUGGCUAACUCUGUGCCAGCAGCCGCGGUAAUACAGAGACUGCAAGCGUUAUUCGGAUUCACUGGGCGUAAAGGGUGCGCAGGCGGCCAAGUGUGUGAGGCGUGAAAGCCCGGGGCUUAACCCCGGAAUUGCACCUCAAACUACAUGGCUAGAGCAUUGGAGAGGGUAGCAGAAUUCACGGUGUAGCAGUGAAAUGCGUAGAUAUCGUGAGGAAUACCAGAGGCGAAGGCGGCUACCUGGACAAUUGCUGACGCUCAGGCACGAAAGCGUGGGGAGCAAACAGGAUUAGAAACCCGUGUAGUCC